rnacentral:miRNA from 1 species
CGUCCCAUAAAAACAAACCCAAAACUAGAUGUGAUAUAUCACAAUACAAUAAAUUUGGAUAUGAGUCUAUCCAGAUACUUCUAUCUAGAUUUAUUGUACUAGGAUAUGUCACAUAUAUUCAGUUUUAUAUUUG